CACAUAUUAAAAAAACUACAAGGAAAAUCAAAAAAAAUGACUUUAAAAAUUUAUAAAUAUCUUUAUAAACCUAUUGUAUUCAUCGCUCCACACUAAAUCCAAUUUCCCCUGUGUUUAAUUCGGUUUUAUAUGUUUUUCCUGGUUUUUUACAUUUGCUGGAAAAACUCCUUGGAAAAUCGAUAAUAUUAUCUCUUUAAAGUACCUCCCCAGUCUGACGUCCUUUAAGAAUAAGUAGUAUCAUGGUAAAUCGGUGUAAAAUUACUAGUAGAAAAGUUUUACCCAGAAAAAAAAUGAAGGCCGUAAUAUUUUUUUACUAAUACCUACAUUUUGUACAUUUUCCGUUUUUCCGUAUAAGCUACACGUUGUACAACGGAGCAAGAUUCUUGGUAGAAAAGUUUGUACAAAAAGUUGACAUAUAUUUUGCGAUUAAAAACGUACGUAGUCCGUACGAGCGAUGA